rnacentral:sRNA from 1 species
CUAGCCCGAUGGAUGAAUUUCAAGUUCAGGGAGAGAUUUCAUUUCGAAGAAAUAAGGAGGACACAUACUCAUAUGAACUUCCUGUGAAAAGUUUAAUGGCCUCUUGCCCCACUGGCUUUCAGAAAGAGAAGAGCAUGACAAAGACGAUCUUUUGAGUGAGCAAACUCACUCGGAUAAAGCUCAGUGCUGGUGUAAGCAUCUGCUUGGUCAAUGGUUACUGAGCGAAUGGCUACAGCUUUUCCCAGAAGAGGCCAACUCAACAUCUGGCUUAAAAUGCAUUUGGCUUUCAGGAGCCAAAGCACUCUCUGCUUAUUCCCCCAAUAAAAGACAUAAAAACGGAAGAAAUGCAAAAAUCUUCAAUAACUGAAAUCU